AGAUGCAAUCAUACCAACACUAAUGCACCAGAUCCCAUCAGAACUCCACAGUUAAGCGUGUUUGGACGAGAGUAGUAGUAAAAUAAGUUAUGGGUGACCUACCGAAAAAUCUUCGUAUUGCAUCCC